CACACACACACACACACACACACACACACACACACACACACACACACACACACCUGCAGCGAAUCUCCUCGUCACUCCUGAUUCAACACCUUGGAACACAUGUGGUGGUUCUCAGACAUUAAGCCUUGAUCUGAGUGUUUCGGUCUCGUUGCUUUUUGGUCUCGAUCUGGUUUAAACACACCAGGAGGCUCUCGGGACCCGUCUACUCUCUGGUAGGCCAGCAUUCCCGCCAGAGCCAGAACCAGCACCGCGAUCACCAGGCCGACGAUCCACCAAUAAGACGGCGCCUCUGAAGUUCUUGGCUGAACUGCACACAGGACCGUCGAUGGUGACACCGGUGCGCUCGGUGUGAGUGUUGUACGGCAUGGAGAACACACAGGUGUAGCUGCCCGUGUGCUCCAGGUGUUUGGGAUCCAUCAGUCGCAGAGAGCCAUCUCCAAACGGGACCCUGAAGCCGUCCAGCUCCACGUGGCUUUCCCACGGCGGCGAGGAGACGCUUUUCCCCGACUGGCUGUCGUAGGUCAGUUUUGGCUGCAGGACAAAGAGGCGUUUGUGUCUCACCUGGCGUUUUGUCCUGCGUGGCGAAGCUGAUCCAGAGCAGCAAACAGGCCCAGCCACUUCUUCCUCUUUCCGGUUUCAGGUUUUCCCUCGGAUCUCUCUGGGUGGUUUGGCAUCAGACACAGAGGGAAAAUGAGGGGAGAGAAAAAGCAUAAUUAGAGGCACAUUCCCGAUGAAAGUGGACACAGUCAGGAGGAUGUACAGUGUGAAACGUGACAGAACAUGUGCUGCCUUCUGGGGAGGACUCAGGUUUGAUCCGCUGAGGAUUUGACUGUCUUCAGGCUGAAAUCUGCCAUCUGAUGAGCCAGAAAACUGAAAUAAAAGUGAGAUUUACAGUCGGAGCCUCGCAGCCUUUCAUCCGCCACAAACUCUGAAUAACUAGAAGCCUUUUUCUUCUUCUUCUUCUUCUCCGUCGUUCCUCUCUGUCACUUCACCAGCUUAUCCUCCUCUGUAUCUCUUCAGAGGAUUGAUAAGUGAAGAGGAUGCGUCUGUUGUUCGUGCACAGUAACACCCUCUCACCUUAUCUCCACGCUCUCCUAACCUCCCAAAACAAACACAGGUGAACUUGGUCCUGUACAUCAAAGAGCAGGAGGAAAUGAGGAAGUGAGGAAGUGAGGAGUGCUGCUGCUCAUAAAUCCAUCAGGCUUCAAGGUGAAGCAGCUGAAGCAUGCAGGCGGGGGGAGAAAGUGGGUUUAAUGAAUGAGUCCUCGAGUGUUUACAUUCCAUCCUUCCUGCAUUAAAGAGACGAUCCUUCUCUCUGAGAGUCGAACAGGGCAGAAGAAGCACAUCGUGUCACUUUUACUGCAGCUGGCGGGAGAAGAAGAGAAGCGUUUGGCUUUUCUCCCAAAUAACUCCUCAUGGUGACGGAGCAGACGAGCAGCAGCGGAUCUCAGACGACUUCUGACUGUCGGUGAGAAGCUGUCAAACAUUUCACAAACGCACUGCAGGAAAAAGACUCCUGCACGCUGUCAGCUUCACCUCCAGUGAGUUUUAAUGACACCCACAGUGUUUCUGUUCUUUUAUUAACAGAUAAAUGAAUCGAUGAAUCCAAUCAAAUGUAUUGAAACUAAAGGAAAGAGCCUGUUCUGAAAAACUCUUCGUAGGUUCUUCUUCAGUUGUUUGACUGCAGCAUUUUAUAAUAAUUAUGUUUAUUGGAAACACUGUCAGCUAGAAGUAUCAUGUGUUAUAUACAGUGUUGCCUCUGAAUCAUAAGCACAUUAUAUUAAAUGUGAUAUACAGUUUGUUUUUGUGCCAGUUUAUCCUGUUUUUUCUUCCUCUGAAUUCAAUUUAAAUUCAGUCUUUUCAUACAAACUAAAUAAACUCUUUAUUCUUUUAUGCUAAGAAACAAAAUGUAUUAUGAAAUUAUACAGUCUCAGGAAAAAUAAAAGAGGAAGCAGAAAACAAAAUAAAGCCGAUUUCUUUAUCACGUAUCAAACAGUUUUAACUGAAUCUUAUAUUGUCUCAAAUUUAACUGCAAACAG